UACGUAGGGUGCAGGCGUUAAUCGGAAUUACUGGGCGUAAAGGGCGCGUAGGCGGCCUUCUAAGUCGAACGUGAAAUCCCCGGGCUCAACCCGGGAACUGCGUCCGAUACUGGAAGGCUUGAAUCCGGGAGAGGGAAGUGGAAUUCCCGGUGUAGUGGUGAAAUGCGUAGAUAUCGGGAGGAACACCAGUGGCGAAGGCGACUUCCUGGCCUGUUCUUGACGCUGAGGCGCGAAAGCUAGGGAGCAAACGGG
rnacentral:rRNA from 1 species